rnacentral:rRNA from 1 species
GACGAACGCUGGCGGCGUGCUUAAUACAUGCAAGUCGAGCGCAGGAAGCUGACGGAACUCUUCGGAGGGAAGGCAGUGGAAUGAGCGGCGGACGGGUGAGUAACACGUAAGGAACCUACCUCAAGGAUCGGGAUAACUCCGAGAAAUCGGAGCUAAUACCGGAUAGUUCAACGGACCGCAUGGUCCGCUGAUGAAAGGCGCUCCGGCGUCACCUUGAGAUGGCCUUGCGGUGCAUUAGCUAGUUGGUGGGGUAACGGCUCACCAAGGCGACGAUGCAUAGCCGACCUGAGAGGGUGAUCGGCCACACUGGGACUGAGACACGGCCCAGACUCCUACGGGAGGCAGCAGUAGGGAAUCUUCCACAAUGGACGAAAGUCUGAUGGAGCAACGCCGCGUGAGUGAUGAAGGUUUUCGGAUCGUAAAACUCUGUUGUAAGGGAAGAACACGUACGAGAGGAAAUGCUCGUACCUUGACGGUACCUUACGAGAAAGCCACGGCUAACUACGUGCCAGCCGCCGCGGUAA